GGCACGUCUAGGGUGGGGCACGGGUAUAUAAGGGCCACAGAGGGCAAGAGUCUCACUUCAGCCUGAGACGCCGACCACUUAGCAUCCUUUUGGCAGUCCCCAGCAGCACCUGUGUAGAUGUGGAGAGAGAGACCCGCCUGGCCGCUGCACUUGAGACUGAACUCGCGCCUGGCCAGCAGUAAGGGUAGUCGCCUGGCCAACUGUGGUAACAAACUUGAGCUGAGAGUUUUGGCGCAGCGGCACAACGUUCCCUGAGCAAAGCACGACCCCUCACUGAGAACCACAAACCUCAUCCUCACACUUCAACAUCAAUACCAACUCCCGCCACGUCUUCAGCCUCUUAAGGAGUGAAACCCUUAACGCACCGUGCACAGCCAACACCCAGCGAGUCACCGCCUACCGCCCUUGUGCUGCCUUCUAUUGCCUUGUGGUUCACGCGACACUCAGCAAGAUGGUUCAGGAACACAGCUACAACUCCUACAGCAGCUACGUGCCAGACCCUCAGGAUAGCAAGUCCACGUACAAGGCCAUGGUGACGGACAAACACACGUCCUUUGGCCAGAAACAAGCCGCGGCCACCACCACUGGAGGAAACAAGAACAAGAAGAGCAAGACUGACGUAUGGGGCCCGAUUUACCAAAACAGACAGCAUUUCGUUGACAUGCACAUCUGUUAGGACUCGCCCCAUCUUGUCCUCACUUGUUCACCUCGCUGACCCGCCCGUGACUUGAGUCCAGGAGGGGAUGAAGCGAGUGUUUCUUAGCGUAAUGUUGCUCUAAUUAACUCGUAUUCCAAGGAAGGUUAUAUACUGAAAGCUCUCGCCACUAAUAACUUCGCCUUAUGGUUUAUUGAAGCUUCACAUAUGCUCUUGUUAAAUUCAUGGUCUCUUUAAUGUCAAGCUGAUCUGGUUUGUUACUUAUCUCAAUGUGUUUAGCACUAUUUUAAUCUUAUUUUGAGGUUUAACCCCUUCAGUACUGGGACACAUUUUUACCUUGAGAUUUAUGUACGAUUAGACCAUUUUAUUGACAUUAGGAAGAGUGUAUAGAGGUCAGAAGAUUAAUGACCACAGUCUUCACUAAGUUAAUCCUCACAUAAGUUUUUGAAGCUGUAUAAAAUCACCAAAUAGUAAGCAGAAUGAAUAUGGAAAAGCGCCAUGGUACUGAAGGGGUUAAAGCUGAGUUGGCUGUCAUUUUCUUUUGCCAUAUCUUGGGUUCUUUAAUUUGAUAAUGGUUCAUCCUUUAUUCUCUUGGUAAUUGUAAUCUGUUUCAAGUCACUACUCAAAGAAUCGUAACUUCACUCUUGAAUAUAUUGAAUAACUAAAGCACUUAAUUAUCAAACCUUUUCACUAUUGUCAUUUCAUGGAGACUCAAUCCUUUUCAGCCACUCCAUUCUUUCAUGCCACAAUAUAAACAGUCCAUUGGUUAAUCAACAUCACAUUCACUGCACAUGAGCAUAAUAAAAAGAGCAUCUACUUA